GAGGAAGUUUCUCGGGUUGAGCCAGGAAUCCCUGGCUGCUUCUCACUCUGCCACAGUCCUUAGGGAGCCCCAGGUGCCAGGCUUUGGGGACACAGCAGAGUAUCACAUGGACACAACUGCUGCCCCAUGGAACUUGCCACCUAGACGGAGAGAGAGACAAAAACCAGUCAACAAAGCUACAGCGUGGCAUCAGAGUAAGGGCAGAGGGAGUGCACGAAUUAUCUACGGCUGCAUUAUGAAUUACCCAGAACCCAGUGGUGCAGAGCGGCUCUGGCUCAGAGCCGCCCAUGAGGAGGACGCCAAGAUCAGCCAGAGCUCCCGUUUCCUCUGACGGCUCAACCGGGGCUGAAGGAUCCCCCAAAGGCGGCUCGCGAACAUGCCCGGCCAGUCAGCACUGGGUGCCGGCAGGAACCCCAGCUCCCCUCCACGGGCGCCUCUCCAGAAGGCGGCUGAGCAUCCUGACAACGUGACGGCUGGUCCCACUCUCACUUCAAGAUUCUCUAAGGAUCCCUGACCAGGUCCCACCGAGAAGAGGGCACUUCUGUAAUCACGCCACCACGACCGCACCCAAGAAACCCGUCAUCGUCAUCCAUGCAGCAACAUCAUCUAACAGACAUUUCACGUGCGCCCAGUGGUCCCAAACGUGUCCUAUAAGCUGUUAUUUAUUUUUUUUUUAAAUCCAGGAUCGUGUGUCACAUUUGGUUUUCACAGCUCUUUCGCCUUCUUUUACGUGGAACAUCCCCUCACCAUUUUUCUUCCUCUGGGCCAUUGCUUCAAAACAGGCAUUUUUGCAGCGUGCGGACCAAUUGUAGAAUGCCCCACAAGCGGGGCGUGUCCAGCCACGUCCUCACGCUCAGAUUCAGGGUAAAGGUUUGGGGCCAUCACGUCACAGACAUAUGUGCUUCCCAUCUCAUCUCUUCAGCGGACACAGGGGCCCUCUUGGUCCCAUUAUUCGGGUGCUAAGUAGGUCAGCCGGUGAAGGUGGGGUCCGCCAGGUCUACCCUUUUCCUAGUGUAAAUGCUACAUAAUCUGCGGAGGGACACUUGGGGACUGUGUCAACGUGCCAUUCCCGGCAAACUUUUACUCAGUAAUUUUGGCAUCCAUCAACGCCCCUUGCCAGAAUCAAAUGUUGCAGCAGUGGUUGCAGCAUGGAAAUAUUUUUUAAAUUUAUCAUUCUUUUUUUUUAGACUUAUUAGUCGAUAUUCUUCGCUAAAGGCAAGCUUCCCACUGCCCCCCUCUUUUUUAUUUCAUAUGUUAUCCAUUAGUAUUUGUUUUAUGCUCAAAUUGUCCCAGAUUUGGCCAGCAGGAGCCCCUUCAAGCUGGCCCUUGGGGUCCUUUCGCAUGUGUCUCCCUCCUUCUUUGAGAAUUUCCUUACUUUUUGCUACAAUAGAAUGUUCCAGGCUCAUCUCGUAUUUUCUUUGCUCCAACCCUGGACUCAGCCAUCUCUCCAGGACCUCCUGGUUCCCUUCAGUGGAGAAUGGUCUUUAGAAACCAAGGUAUGAGUCCGAGGUGUGCCCAUUCCCGCCAGGAGGUCGCUGUUUCUGGAUCUUUCAGAGAAGAGCAGAUACACACGAGCCCAUCGUGAUGCCUCUGAUUCAAAUCCAGCGUCACGAGCUUCUUGCUCUAGUCCCCAUUCCUUACUCCCGCCUCUCGGAUUCUGCUGUGAGAACCCUGUUUCCCCAACUGUCAAAAUAUUUCCUCCUUUGUUCUGUCCUACAAGCCACACGAAAUAGUUUCAGAACUCUGCCAAUGCAACCGUCAACAACCACCUAUUUAUUACGGCUCAAGAUUUCUUUGAGGUUCUUCUUGACUUAGGAGCAUCUUCAGUUAAGAGGCUUCAGUUAAAGGACCGUGUUCAGAGGCUGCUUGAACUAACCCCUUUCUGUGUGGGUAGAUUCUUGGAUUAUCAGUUGCUGCUUAACAAACGACCCAAAACUUAGCGGCUUAAAACACCAGGAUGUGUUAGCCUGUGGAUGCAGGUGUGGCUUCCCCGGGCUCUCUGCUGCAGGGUGUCCCGCAGGCCUCAGCCAGGGUGUCGGUCAGAGCUGGGACCCUCUGGGGGCCUGACCGGGUGGGGGAAAGUCCACCCCCCUCACGUGACUGUUGGCAGGACCCAGUGCCUUGAGGGCGUUGGGCUGAAGGUCCCGGUUUCUCUCUGGCUGUUGGUCAGAGGCCACUCAGUUCGUUGCCGGGUGGGCCUCUCCAUCAAGAUGAGCAGGUGCGCGGAGCCACAAAUCAAGAGAGCCCGCAAGACAGAAGUCACAGCUUUCUAGAACCUCCUCUCUGAAGGGGCGUCCCAUCACCUGUGUCAUAGUCCGUUCGUGAGAAGGGAGUCAUGGGGUCCAGCCCUCGUUCCAGGGGAGGGAAUUAUACAAGCACGUGAGUUCCAGGAACCGGGGGGUCCUUGGGAGCCAGAAGUCUGCCCCCCAGCGUUAUCGAUUGAUAGAUAGUUAGGUUCCUUUGUUUUUAUUCGUGUUCAGUUUUAGGGGCUACUGUCUUUGCAACGCUUUUGAUUGAAUUUUAUCUUUGAAUCUGUAAAAUAUUUCUGUGGUUC
ensembl:lncRNA